ACAACUUUUAACAACGGAUCUCUUGGCUCUCGCAUCGAUGAAGAACGCAGCGAAAUGCGAUAAGUAAUGUGAAUUGCAGAAUUCAGUGAAUCAUCGAAUCUUUGAACGCACCUUGUGCUCUCUGGUAUUCCGGGGAGCACAUCUGUUCGAGUGU
rnacentral:rRNA from 1 species